rnacentral:rRNA from 1 species
UCGAGAAUUUUUCACAAUGGGCGAAAGCCUGAUGGAGCGACGCCGCGUGGGGGAUGAAUGGCUUCGGCCCGUAAACCCCUGUCAUUCGCGAGCAAACGUUAUUAUUUAAAAGAUGAUAGCCUGAUAGUAGCGAAAGAGGAAGGGACGGCUAACUCUGUGCCAGCAGCCGCGGUAAUACAGAGGUCCCAAGCGGUGUUCGGAUUUACUGGGCGUAAAGGGUGCGUAGGUGGUGGGGUAAGUCGGAUGUGAAAUCUCCGAGCUCAACUCGGAAAGUGCAUUGGAAACUACCCUGCUCGAGGGUUGGAGGGGGUACUGGAAUACUUGGUUCAGCAGUGAAAUGCGUAGAUAUCAAGUGGAACACCAGUGGCGAAGGCGAGUCCCUGGACAACUCCUGACACUGAGGCACGAAAGCUAGGGGAGCAAACAG